UGAGUUUGAUCCUGGCUCAGAAGGAACGCUAGCUAUAUGCUUAACACAUGCAAGUCGAACGUUGUUUUCGGGGAGCUGGGCAGAAGGAAAAGAGGCUCCUAGCGUGAAGGUAGCUUGUCUCGCCCAGGAGGUGGGAACAGUUGAAAACAAAGUGGCGAACGGGUGCGUAAUGCGUGGGAAUCUGCCGAACAGUUCGGGCCAAAUCCUGAAGAAAGCUAAAAAGCGCUGUUUGAUGAGCCUGCGUAGUAUUAGGUAGUUGGUCAGGUAAAGGCUGACCAAGCCAAU
rnacentral:rRNA from 1 species